rnacentral:lncRNA from 1 species
GUGUGUCGGUUAGACCACCUGUUUUACCGCUUUCGGAACCCCAACUUAUCGUCUCGUUGAGACAUUGGUUUGAUAUAGUAUAUUCGCAAUUUCAGAUUGCAUCCGCUAUUUAUCUUGUUCUUGCUUGUUCUUCGAUUGCUUGCAGGAACAAAGACCUUCGUGGUCAGGUUGAUCGUGCCCCCGCGUGAUCAAUAACCCUUUGGAGUUGGUGUAUCGAUUGCUAAGGCGCUGCCUCCUAGGCCGUAGUCGGAUCGUCAACGUCACCUCCUACCCAAAUCGAGAGUUACCAAUCUCAUCGAAAGAUCGGGCCACCCGCACCCGUAUCACGUGGUAUCAGAGCUUAAGGUUGCUCGGUGAGAUUUUUCCAGUUUAUCCGUAGUUUAGAUCUAUUUUUACCUAUCGUCCAGAAAAAGCCAAAUAAAAAUUAGAAUUAGUUACCUUGUCCUAGAACCAAUCUGAGCCUUGCAAUUUUCACUUUAGUAUUUGCAUUGUUGAAUCUUUGCUGCAUUAAUCGUGUCGAGUUGCUGGAUUAGAUUGGAUCGUUUUUCAGAUUUUUUCUACUAGAUCGAACUUGCUUUUGGUUUUCUUGUUCUUCGUGUGACGCAGGUUUCCUUCAUCAAUCUUCCGCCGCCAAACUUCCUGCCACACCACCGCCAUAAUCUCCCGCCGCCACCAUAUCUUCCACCGAGUCCCUCUUGGAGUCCUACACCGAGUCCCUCAUCGAGUCGUACACCGAGUCCCUCUUCGAGUCCUACACCGAGUCCCUCGUCGAGUCCUACAUCGAGUCGGCAAGUUAUAGUUUUCAGCCGCGAAUCCGAGUCCGAGUCCAAUAAGGAGUGCUUUUGGAAAGUGUUUCAUCAUAGAUCGAAUUUUGUUUAGAGAUCAAGUUGUUUGGAAAUUUGAAAAAAAAAAGAAAGGAAAGAAGAAAAAAAGGAAAGAAAGAAAAAAAAAGGAAAAAAAAAAAGAGAAAGAGUUCGAGUCAGUUUCGGACCCGAGUCCGAGUAGAAUUUUAGUUUCGGGUGGGUUUGACCUGUGUUCAGUAAAACGGACGUAUCUUUUGCAUACCAACUCGGAUUUGGACGUUCUUGGACUUUUUGGAAAGGUCACGACGAGGCACAUCAGGAAAUAUCCAGGGCUUUGCCCUGCACUUUGACCCUCAAAUUCGGCAUCUAAGGUGGACUUUUCGAGCUCCAAAGUUUCUGCACCCGUUUUACGGCACCGGGGCAGCGCAGUAUAUCUCAGUUUUCUCCACCGUCCGACCUCCGUUUCGAGUGAUCUUGCACUUGUUGGAAAGCUUGUUUUGAUACGCUUCUAACCCAUAUUUUUCCAUAUUUUUCUGAAUUUUUCUUACUGCAGCCUUUGCUGUUUUUCGACAGACCGACGUACAGUUUUCCGGUCCUUCUUUUGCGUGAGUUUCUGGGGUAAAAAAAAAGAAAAAAAAAAGAAAAAAAAGAAGAAGAAAAGAAUAAGAAGCCAAACAGAAGGCCACAAAAAGAAAAAAAAAAGAAAAAAAAUCCCAGGGAUUUACUUCUUGUGCCAUCUUUCUAUCCUACCUUCUUCAGUAUCUAGGCUUAGAUUAUUUCUGUAAUUCGUUCUUAUCGACUCCAGCAGCUAGGACUAGCAUUAUUGAGCAUAUUUUCAACUUUGCAUUGCUGAUUUGAUUAUUUGCUAUUCUUUGCUACUCACAAAAGCCUCCAAGCUCCACAGAUUCUACACCUAGGUUGGUUUGUUACCGAGGCAUCGAUACAUUUAAUAUUCGGAGGGCUUGGUCACGCCGCUGCCCAUCACCUUCCUGUUUUGCAUGGUAAGAACUUGUAAGAACUUGAUUUUUAGUUUGAGAGUUGAGCGACUUGUAGCCAUCCUAGUAGUUGAUAGGAACAUAUUACUGUGAUUUGUUUCUUGUUUUCUACUAACCAUGACAGGACUUACACGAAGCAUGGCAACUAGACCGAUGCUAUCCCGUGACCGCGAUGAGUGAUUUUCACCACGACCAUCCUCCACGUCUCUUGUUCAUAAUGCCACGGCAACGGUACAAAACAAUCCUUCUAAUACAAUUAAAUUGUGUGUACCUUUCUUUGAGGGGGAAAAUGAUGCUGAAACGUAUAUAGAUUGGGAGCUAGCUUUAACUGAACAAUUCACAUGCUUCCAUGUACUAGAU